rnacentral:lncRNA from 1 species
GUUCCCCUCGUACUUACCCUACCCAACCCAUGACAUGGACUGUCAUUUUGUUUUACAACACACACAUACAUAACACACACACACACAACAUAACACCAAACAAACAGCACACAACACACACACACACACAGUAAGUGUGAUAUACAUUAGCGCCAGCGCCCAAGUGGUAAAGUGAAAUCAAUCGUCCUCUUCUACACUCUGGGUCCGCGUCCAAUUGUCUCUUCUUCCUCCAAAGUGUGCACUCGUUCACUUCCCUUCACUGAUUUGAAAGGAAAUGACUGGUAUAAAGAAAUAUGGUGGGAACCCCUCUAGCCCUCCCCAAUCCAAUGCUGUCAGUGUGUGUGGGAACUCCCUCCAGCCCCCACCAAUCCAAUGCUGUCAUAUUGUGGUGGGAACGUCCCUCCAGCCCUCCACCAAUCCAAUGCUGUCAGAUUGUAGUGAACGGGUGCACCCUUCAGGAGAAAGGAGAGACCAUUGGGACGUACCCCAACUCUCUCCCUCUCUGACUGUAGUGAACAGGU